UACGAAGGGGGCUAGCGUUGUUCGGAAUUACUGGGCGUAAAGCGUGCGCAGGCGGCUAUCCAAGUCAGUGGUGAAAGCCCGGAGCUCAACUCCGGAAUUGCCAUUGAAACUGUUUAGCUCGAGUACGAGAGAGGUGAGUGGAAUUCCCAGUGUAGAGGUGAAAUUCGUAGAUAUUGGGAAGAACACCGGUGGCGAAGGCGGCUCACUGGCUCGUUUCUGACGCUCAGGCGCGACAGCGUGGGGAUCAAACAGG
rnacentral:rRNA from 1 species